rnacentral:rRNA from 1 species
GGGGGGGGGGCCUAACCAUGCAAGUCGAGCGGUAGCACAGAGAGCUUGCUCUCGGGUGACGAGCGGCGGACGGGUGAGUAAUGUCUGGGAAACUGCCUGAUGGAGGGGGAUAACUACUGGAAACGGUAGCUAAUACCGCAUAAUGUCGCAAGACCAAAGUGGGGGACCUUCGGGCCUCAUGCCAUCAGAUGUGCCCAGAUGGGAUUAGCUAGUAGGUGGGGUAACGGCUCACCUAGGCGACGAUCCCUAGCUGGUCUGAGAGGAUGACCAGCCACACUGGAACUGAGACACGGUCCAGACUCCUACGGGAGGCAGCAGUGGGGAAUAUUGCACAAUGGGCGCAAGCCUGAUGCAGCCAUGCCGCGUGUGUGAAGAAGGCCUUCGGGUUGUAAAGCACUUUCAGCGGGGAGGAAGGCGUUGAGGUUAAUAACCUUGUCGAUUGACGUUACCCGCAGAAGAAGCACCGGCUAACUCCGUGCCAGCAGCCGCGGUAAUACGGAGGGUGCAAGCGUUAAUCGGAAUUACUGGGCGUAAAGCGCACGCAGGCGGUCUGUCAAGUCGGAUGUGAAAUCCCCGGGCUCAACCUGGGAACUGCAUUCGAAACUGGCAGGCUAGAGUCUUGUAGAGGGGGGUAGAAUUCCAGGUGUAGCGGUGAAAUGCGUAGAGAUCUGGAGGAAUACCGGUGGCGAAGGCGGCCCCCUGGACAAAGACUGACGCUCAGGUGCGAAAGCGUGGGGAGCAAACAGGAUUAGAUACCCUGGUAGUCCACGCCGUAAACGAUGUCGAUUUGGAGGUUGUGCCCUUGAGGCGUGGCUUCCGGAGCUAACGCGUUAAAUCGACCGCCUGGGGAGUACGGCCGCAAGGUUAAAACUCAAAUGAAUUGACGGGGGCCCGCACAAGCGGUGGAGCAUGUGGUUUAAUUCGAUGCAACGCGAAGAACCUUACCUGGUCUUGACAUCCACAGAACUUUACCAGAGAUGCAUUGGUGCCUUCGGGAACUGUGAGACAGGUGCUGCAUGGCUGUCGUCAGCUCGUGUUGUGAAAUGUUGGGUUAAGUCCCGCAACGAGCGCAACCCUUAUCCUUUGUUGCCAGCGGUUAGCCGGGAACUCAAAGGAGACUGCCAGUGAUAACUGAGAGGUGGGGAUGACGUCAGUCAUCAUGCCCUUACGACCAGGCUACCACACGUGCUAACAAUGGCAUAUUACAAAGGAGAAGCGA